UCUUAUGCAGGCUAUACUGUUGCUCUUCAAGUUUCCCAGUUUAAAAUUUAACCAGGAAGUGAGGCAUGUCUUAGCUUCAGCAAAUCAAAAGUUUCAGAAUAUUUUGUUUUUGCUGCCUUAGAAACCCAAGGAUUUUGCCGGCGGUCCAGUAAUGUUCUGAUCUGCUGCAAAACUUUACAGUCAGCACAGCCGUCUGUGCAGAGCAGCAGAUUUCAGUGCCAAUGAGCAAAGUACUUGGCUUCCUUUCGCACUUGUGCAACCUGUUGAGACCCAAGGAAGUUGUGCGGGUGUUGCAAAGGAUUUGGCCAUACCGUUCAGAGUCUGAGAUACCUGCCUAAUCAUGGUGCUCCCUGAGAGACUUCUACUUCCCUGGAGGAUGUUCCUCACUCUGACAGGUCUGAAAGGAAACUCACAUUUCUGCAUUUUAAGGAACACCACAAUGCCUGUAUGGAAAUUGCACUGUCACACAAUAAAUAAAACGUGAGGUAAAAGGAUACUAUCUCUGCUCCAAAGAUUUGAUACUUCUUCCAAGAGAUGCAGUACAUCCAGCACUUCACUCCUUCUAAUUGUGGACUAUGAAAGCAUUGGCUGCGGAGGGUGCUGGACCUUACCAACCCCAUGAAGGAAGGACCAAAAAAUCCAAAUAAAAGUUAUUCAUAGAGGACUAUGGUGCUUUACCAGGCUGUGGUUACCGCCAGGAUGACGCUGAUUGGUAGCCCAGUGCCUGGGAUGGAUUAGGAUCACUUGCUGGGCAGCUUUUCAAUAUUCUGUUUUAUCUUCAUCGUUCAGCACGUGGCCCCAUGUCUCGGGUACUGCACUCCAUUCAAGCUGUGCUCUGGAUACAUAAUUAUUAAUUUCAUCAGCAGCUUUUUGGUGGCAGUCACUGCUAUUGUUUUCAAGUGGAUUGUGAAUAGCGCUGAGUUCUGUUUUUCCUCUUUGAGAUGAGGGGACAUUGUUAUCUUCAUUUUUCAGGUGGAACAAAAAGACACAGGAAGAUUAAAGUGCAGAGGUUCCACUAAUUUCAGACACCAAAGAUCUCUGUAAUUACCCUUGUGGAAAGCUGAUAGCGUUAGCAAUAGCCUUCAUGUGGCCUAAUGCUAACAAAGACUCACCAGCGGCUGUCACAUCUAUUUGCUGAUGGGGGAGGCUCUGGAGCCCUGAGCUCCAUCCUAAUGCUGGCAAGUGCACCAUAGAGAGAUGCAAGCUCUCUUGCUUGUCCCUUCUGCAGCACACGGUCCAUGGACUUCUGGCUGCCCUCCUCCCCACCCCUGCCUCCAGUUGCAGUGGGUGGCUUCGUCCCAUGUGCCACUGAGAGUGGGGACUCUGCUUCCAGUCCUGCUAACCAGAUCUCAGGAAAGCUUACAGUGUGGGUAAAUUUGGGUUGAUUUUCAGAGAAUUAGCAAAUGAUCUGUUAACUUUUCCAGAAGAUGGAGCCAGGGUAUACAUUGUUCCUUAAGGUUGUUUUGAGGGGGAACAAAAAAACCAAACAAACAGAACAGUCUGCUUAUUUCCCUAAGUAUUUAGCCUGCAGGAAAAUCUGAUUAGAAGACUUCAGCCCCACAGGUUAAAGUGUAGCCAAAUUAUGAAGCAGAGAAAUCUUGGAUGACUUUACUGGUAGCAGAGUACUUGUAGCAGCCUUGCUGCUAAUAAGAAGGCAUGUACACGCACACAUGCACCCACAGAGACUUCGUGCGCAUAGACAAGCACAAUAAUUAGCAGGACGCUGGUUGCCCUCUCAUUUAUUUCACUUGUUCUUUUCUGUAGAGCUUAAUCUUGCAGACAGUUUGCUUUAAUCCUGAGUGGAUGGAAACGGCAGGAGUCUGUGUAAAAUUGGUGUAUGUUUUCAGCCACUGAGAGCAGAAACCAUCAGAAGGCAAUGCUGAAUAAAUCCAGAGGAACACCAUGGCAUUAAGGGUGCAUCAUGCUGAGCAUGCCUACUGUGGUAGAAGGUGACUCCCAUCCCAGUGAUGGAUGAGAUCCUGAACGAGGUAGGAUCUCCUCAUGUUUCAUCUACGCAGAACUGCUGAAAGCUUCAUGUUGUGGUCUAAUUCAAAUUAAUUGAAUUGUAAUGGUAAACACAUAAUCAGACAAACAACAGAAGUACAAAGCGAAGGAGUCCACCACGGUCAUUCCUCUUUUGAAAAUAUGAUAACACCUGCACAGAAAAAAAUCAUGAAAGUGGGAGGAAAAAAAUCAUUUGCCUAUGGAAAAAAAAAAAAGUCAGGUCUUUUAAAAGGUGAGCUGCCAGAUGUUUUGUAUAUUAAUGAUAUCUUUUACAUAGUAUAAGAGAGGGUAAUGCAUGUAUCAGUAAGGGCUCAAAUUUAUAAGGAGUGUGAAACAAUAAUUUAAUCCUCCUGAGAUAUGUUAUCAGUGCCAACCCCAUGCUUUUUAUACACAUGUAAACUUCAGUGGAAACCAUCUUAACUGCUUUCCUUCUUAUUAAACAGUCUUCCAAAAUCUAUAAUUCAGCGAGACAUUAAGCAGUUGGCAUUUGUUGCUAUACAAUCCAAUUCUGCAAGCCCCACUGUGAAUUCAGCAGGGCAUUCUCCACCAGCCAGCUUUGUUAUCAGUAACUCUACAUGAAAGAACUUGUGUUUUCCCACUAAUGAAGAAAACUGAAGAAUAAUAAAGUUGUUCAGUAUUUUAGAACCUUACUGUGGAUUGCAGCCUUGAGAUUUAAAUGCAGAGAACUGUUGAGAUGCUCUUGAAUCCAAGUGUCUGUCACUGGUAAG
ensembl:lncRNA